CCUCACAAGACAAAACUCGUCCACUAGGGCCACCUAGGGGUUUAAAGCCUUAUUGCAUACGGUAAAUGCAAUCGCGAUUCCUGCAAAAGUGAGUUAACUUCUUUUCUAUUAUUUUGCUCGAGGACUAGCAAAAUAUAGGUUGGGAGGUGUGAUAAGUGCUAAAUAAUGCAUAAAUUAAUAUUUUAUUCAUAGCACUUAUCAUUAUUUUAAUUCACAUAUUUUGUAAAUUCAACUAA
rnacentral:lncRNA from 1 species